UACGAAGGUGGCAAGCGUUGUUCGGAUUUACUGGGAGUACAGGGAGCGUAGGCGGUUGGAUAAGCCCUCCGUGAAAUCUCCAGGCUUAACCUGGAAAGUGCAGAGGGGACUGUUCAGCUAGAGGAUGGGAGAGGAGCGCGGAAUUCCCGGUGUAGCGGUGAAAUGCGUAGAGAUCGGGAGGAAGGCCGGUGGCGAAGGCGGCGCUCUGGAACAUUUCUGACGCUGAGGCUCGAAAGCGUGGGGAGCAAACAGG
rnacentral:rRNA from 1 species